GUAAGUCAGAUGGUCGCGUCUGCAAGUGCCGAAAGGCCGCAGAUGAGGAACGUCCGGGCUCCACAGAGCAAAGGUGCUGGGUAACCCCCAGUGGAGGCGACUCUAAGGAAAGUGCAACAGAAAUAAACCACCUAUUGCAUGCAAUAGGAAAGGGUGGAAAGGUGAGGUAAGAGCUCACCGUUUCUAGGGUGACCUAGAAAGCCAUGUAAACCCCGCCUGGAGCAAGACCGGAUAAAGACAUAUGUGGCUGCUCGUCACGUCUUAGGUAGGUCGCUAGAGCCUAUAGGUAACUAUAGGUCGAGAUAGAUGACUAUCAAAUACAGAACCCGGCGUAUAGAUUUGGUU
rnacentral:RNase_P_RNA from 1 species